UACGUAGGUGGCAAGCGUUAUCCGGAAUUAUUGGGCGUAAAGCGCGCGCAGGUGGUUUCUUAAGUCUGAUGUGAAAGCCCACGGCUCAACCGUGGAGGGUCAUUGGGAACUGGGAGACUUGAGUGCAGAAGAGGAAAGUGGAAUUCCAUGUGUAGCGGUGAAAUGCGUAGAGAUAUGGAGGAACACCAGUGGCGAAGGCGACUGUCUGGUCUGUAACUGACACUGAGGCGCGAAAGCGUGGGGAGCAAACAGG
rnacentral:rRNA from 1 species